GCCGGGCAGUGGUGGCGCACUCCUUUAAUUCCAGCAUUUGGGAGGCAGAGGCAGGCAGAUUUUUGAGUUCGAGGCCAGCCUGGUCUACAGAGUGAGUUCCAGGACAGCCAGGGCUACACAGAGAAACCCUGUCUCGAAAACCAAAACCAACCAACCAACCAAACAAACAAACAAAAGAAGUAAAAACAAAACCAGAAAGUUAAAAAAAAAGAAAAAUAAAUAAAAUAAAAAGAAUCCUCCAAACCAGACAGUCCUGCCCAGAUGAUGGAAUAGAGCAAGGAACUGAUACAGGACAGCAGACUCAGGGCCAUGAGGAAGCCCAAGUGAGGGCAGCAGGGAAGUUAGCCCACCACAAUAAGGUGUUCCUCAAGAUCUGCAAAGAGGACUUGAACAGCAGCCACAAGCCAUGUGACCAGGGUGUGGGGAUAACCCGCCAAAGUGCAGUCCACUGCAGGAAGACCCAUUCUUCCAAGUCUAGCUCACACUGGGUACCCGGAGGAGCGGAGCACUGAGAGGAGGACUGUAGCCUUUGUGGAAGAGUACCUCUGGACUCAUUCUUCAGCAGAAAUACCAACUAGCAACAGCAGGACACCGAUGCAAACAAAACCAACAAGAGGGUGGAAGAGGAUGACGGGGCUUUGCCAGGCUUACAUAAAUGAGUGUUCUGAGAGCUGGGGUUGUGACUCAGUGGUGGCACAUGCCUGGUAUGUCCAAACUUUAUGGUCAGUCCCAGGCACACAGCCCAAGUAUUCUCAGUAAAGACUAAAUCAGAUAUCUUACAAGUGUCUUUUGAAAGCUUUCCAUCCCAAUAAUGCUUUAUUUUUUAAUAUAUGUGUAUAUGUGUAUGUACGAGUGUAUGUAUGUGUCCAUGUGUGUGCAGGAACCCAUGGAAGCCAUUGGAUCGCCUAGAACUGGAGUUAUAGGUGGUCAUGAGCUGUGAUGUGGGUGCUGGGAACCAAAUCUGGGUGUUUUACAAAGGAGUGCUCUUAACCACUGAGCCAUCCUUCCAGCCUUGCCAUAAAGACCAGGCUGGCUUCAAAGUUGUCCUCUUGCUUGUAGUCUUUGCAUUUGGGAGUCUAAGGUGAGAAGACAGCUCAAAUUCCAAGCUAAGCAAGACUGCACAGGUGAGACCUUGUUACAGAGGAGAAAGGGCUUAGUGGCCUACUCCUGUGGCACUUGGAAGGCAGAGACAGUAUUCUUUUUUUUAUUUUUUAUUUUUUUAUUUUUUGGUUUUUCAAGACAGGGUUUCUCUGUAUAGCCCUGCUGGCUGUCCUGGACCUCACUCUAUAGACCAGGCUGGCCUCGAAUUCAGAAAUCCGCCUGCCUCUGCCUCCCAAGUGCUGGGAUUAAAGGCGUGGGCCACUACCGCCUGGCGGAGGCAGUAUUCUUAUGAAUUCAGGUCUCACCUGGACUAAAUAUCAAGUACCAGGCCAGCCAGGACCUUCUAUCAUAAAACAAAACAACAACAACCAAAACUACACAAAGGAAACGUCUUCCUGUCAGAUGACCACACAGUAACGAGGUAGUGCUGUGCCUUUCUCCUGCAUCUCAGGUGCACUGGUGGAGCUGAGCCCUUCCAGUUUGGACACAGAGAAAGCAUUCCUCAAUCUCUGCAUGGACAAGGACUAGGAAUUGCAUAGAUACCACAGGGCAAGAAAAUCUAACUGAAGAACAGUGACUUUUGGCAUUACCAAACUUCAUUUCUGGACACGGAGGGACCUGCUGAUGUGGGCACAAUGCUUCCUUCAGCUCCCAUAUCACAUCAUGGAGGCCUCUUUAGCUCUUGGUCAAAGAGAGAGUAGGUGAGCUCAGAAUUUCAGCUAAAUACAUCUGGCCUCAAAAAUGUGUUCUGCUCAGAAACUCAGCUUCUGUGUCAUCCCAGCACUUGACUUGCUGAACGGCUGUGUUUAAGCUGUGGGCUUUAAGUGGCAGCUGUGGAUCCAGUCUUGCCAAGUGAGUUUGCUAUAGAUAGUACAAUCUGCAACCGAGGAAAGUCAGGAGGAUCCAGCUACCGUUGCCUUAGAAUAUGCAGGGCGUUUUUACUGUGUACCUGCUGUAUUUUGGAGGUAGAGAGCUCUCACUGCACAGUGGAUAUAGUAAUUCCUGGUGCUUUUUCCCAUUCACUUGGAUUGUGGUGGACCUGCCCUGGCUUGCAGUGAGAAGGGCUUCAUACCGCUUCAGAGGCCAAAAAGGAAUGAACACCAAAGGAAAAUUCCCCUGUGAAGUGCCAGCCAGCAUUGUGUCCUCACAAAGUUCUCAUGUCCUGUGCGGGUUUCUGGGGCCACUAGACCUUGUUGGCUUGUGUUGAAAGGGCUAAGAGCCUGGAUCUCUUCCCCUUAGCCUUGCCUGCCCAUUCCUGACUGCAACCUGCUUCUUAGGAAUGUCUGGCCCCAAGCCAAAUACUUAAGUACAGCACAAGACAGCUUUCCAGGGAGGCUAGAAAGCUAGCACCUGAUCCAGGUCGAUCUUUAAAGUAGCUGUGUUAAGAAGGAAAUGCUGUCCUGACCCCAGUUUGCCUCCGUGACCACUGCCACCACCUGCUGUCCUCAAGGCUGUCUGCUGGCAGCCUACUCUAACACAUUUAUCAUCACACAGUAGUGGUGAUAAUAAUCCUACAAGUCCAGAGGACAUUUUUGUUGUUUGUUUUGAAGCUCAAGGGCAAUUUUAUUAGAGUUUGAAAGAAAAAUGUCAGGGCCUAUCAGUCCAGUUCUCUUGAGGGACAGAACUGAUAGAAUGUGAAAAAGUAGAUACAUGAAAAGGGGAUUUAUUAGAAUGCUUUUCAAGGCUGUGGUCCAGCUAGUCCAACAACAGUUGUCUGCCAACAGAAGGUCCAAGAACAAGAAGUUGCUCAGUCCAUGGGGCUGGAUGUUCAGCUGGUCUUCAGUAUACAACAGAAUUCCAAAGAAGUAGGCGCAAAUGCCAAGGAGGAAUGGACUUGCCAUGGAGAGCAAGAGCAGACAGGCAGAGAGAGAGCUUCCUUCUUCCAUGGCCAUUAUAUAUACAGGCUGCUAGCCAAAGGGCGACCCACAUGAAAAUUGUAUCUUCCCACCUCAAAAGACCCAGAUUAAAAUUAUUUAUUUCCACUUCAAAUUAUUUAAUUAAGAAAAAAAAUAUCUCCCAGGUGUACCCAGCCACUUGGGAUUUAGUUAAUUCCAGGGGUAGCCAGGCUGACAAUCAAGAUCAACCAUCACAUAGGAAAACAAGCUGUAAAUCUCAGUAGCUUGCUGGGAGAAGAGAGAUGCAGAAGAGAAAGGUCUUGCCUUUUAAAUUAGGAAUGAAUGAAUGUCAAUUCUGAAAAAAAUGAU
rnacentral:lncRNA from 1 species